rnacentral:rRNA from 1 species
UACAGAGGUCUCAAGCGUUGUUCGGAUUCAUUGGGCGUAAAGGGUGCGUAGGCGGCGCGGUAAGUCGGGUGUGAAAUCUUGGAGCUUAACUCCGAAACUGCAUUCGAUACUGCCGUGCUUGAGGACUGGAGAGGAGACUGGAAUUUACGGUGUAGCGGUGAAAUGCGUAGAUAUCUGGAGGAAUACCGGUGGCGAAGGCGGCAUCCUGGACCGACAUUGACGCUGAACGGCGAAAGCUAGGGGAGCAAACGGG